UGGCAAUAUACCAGGGCAUCGCGGGAGCAGAGUCAUGAGAACAGAGUUUCUCUGUUUGACUAUAAUCAUACACGAGGAAAGACUUGGCAUUGGCCCGGCUAUUACUGACAUCACAAAAGCAGCAGUACCACCUACUCACCCACUUAAGCUGGCAACAAACAAUUGCUCCCCAGCACCUGCAAGCUAAGUCAUGCAGUAUUUCUUAACCUAGUAUGCUCCUACACACGAGGAAAGCACUAUAUAAUGGAGCGGAAAACAGGAAACUGAAAGAACCAGCAGCAUCCACUUUCCUGCUAUGGAUCAAAUAAGGUAGCGGAAUAAGGAGCUGUGUACCUGAAGG